GGGUCCAUCCUACUUCCUGCUGGUCAGCCUGUGACCUGCCAGGCUUUGGUUGUGGACCAGAGCACCCUAGAAGCUUCCCCAGAGGAGAGAGUGGGGCUGUGGUGGGCUCACGCCAUUGGCGCUUCUAGACACUC